rnacentral:rRNA from 1 species
CCUACGGGUGGCAGCAGUGGGGAAUAUUGCGCAAUGGGCGAAAGCCUGACGCAGCGACGCCGCGUGAGGGAUGAAGGUCUUCGGAUCGUAAACCUCUGUCAGCAGGGAAGAACGGUCACUGUGCUAAUCAGCAGUGAAUUGACGGUACCUGCAAAGGAAGCACCGGCUAACUCCGUGCCAGCCGCCGCGGUAAUACGGAGGGUGUGAGCGUUAAUCGGAAUUACUGGGCGUAAAGCGCUCGUAGGCGGUAUGUCAAGUCAAGUGUGAAAUCCCCGCGCUCAACGUGGGAACUGCCUUUGAAACUGGCAAACUGGAGUGUGUGAGAGGAUAGUGGAAUUCCAGGUGUAGGAGUGAAAUCCGUAGAUAUCUGGAGGAACAUCAGUGGCGAAGGCGACUAUCUGGCACACAACUGACGCUGAGGAGCGAAAGCGUGGGUAGCAAACAGGAUUAGAUACCCCAGUAGUC